rnacentral:lncRNA from 1 species
CUGGAUCCCUAUAAACAUGGGCUGAGAGCCCCCCCAAGAGCAUCUCUAAGACCGGAGUGGGCAGGGACCCGGGCCUCUGAGGGGCUCAGGCUCCAGGCCGGAAACUGCACGCGGUGCUGGCGUCAGGCCCGAGGCCCAGCUACGCCUCCCACGGCCUCCCUAAUCGCCAUUCGGGGCUUGCGGGAGCACCUGGGAGGCUCCACCCGGAGCCAGACACUGCCUGCCCCCACGCCCCUCCAGGACCCUCGAAGGAGAAGGAAAUCGGGACUGGCCCAGCGUCCCGUGCUCUAGAAGGCGGGCUACUGCCCCGUCCCAAGCAGGGGAGGAGGACGAGCGAGGGCGUCACUCAUUCUGUCCCCCGCGGAAGGAUGAGGAAGCUCUGUUUACCUAAAUGAAAAGCUUUCUAGGAGGAAGUCCUAAGUGAACAAUGAUGCAUGAGGAUGCAAUCUUACAGGCAAGGAGCCCAGUGAUAACAAAUGGCUGUAGAUGCUUUUCCUCCAUCAAGCUUCCAGGAGGAGAUGAGAUGGAGCCCAUCGCUGAGCCAAGGUCACCAGCCCCAUUUCACAAAUGUAAAUAGCAGGUGUCCCCCACACAGUCUGAACACUUGGAGGCCAAGAUUCAUUUCUCUCAGGGCCCACCAUCCUCAAGCAUGGGAUUGAUUUAGUGCCUCUUGCUGGGAAGCAAAGUUCUGGGAGCCAUAGUGGGAUCCUCCCUCCCUCCCUGCAGGAGACUGGGGCCCUUCCAAGCAGCAACUGAGACCAGUCAACAACCUCUGCCUUAGGCCAGGCGCGGUGGCUCACGCCUGUAAUCCCAACACUUUGGGAGGCUGAGGCGGGCAGAUCAUCUGAGGUCAGGAGUUCAAAACCAUCCUGGCCAACAUGGUGAAACCCCGUCUCUACUAAAAAUACAAAAAUUAGCUGGGCGUGGUGGUGCGUGCCUGUUGUCCUAGCUACUCCGGAGGCCAAGGCAGGAGAAUUCCUUGAACCUGGGAGACAGAGGUUGCAGGUCUGAGAUUGCACCACAGCAUCCAGCCUGGGCGACAGAGUGAGACCCUGUCUCAAAAAGAAACAAAUUAAAAAACAAAAAACAAAAAACAACCUCUGCCUGCCCUUGGGGCCUAGCAUGAGCCCCUGCACACAGGAGGCUUCUAUAAAAAUAGCUCAUUUCGGGUAAUCUAGGGCAGAACCCAGGCUUUUACCACUUGUGGUUUCUCUUUCUAAAUGUGUAGUUAAAAGCUGUAGGCCAGACCUGGUGCAUGGUGGCUCAUGCCUGGAAUCCCAACACUUUGGGAGGCUGAGGUGGGAGAAUCACUUGAGGUCAGGAAUUUGAGAUCAGCUUGGCCAAUAUAGCAAGACCCUGACUCUUUAAAAAAAAAAUUUUUUUUUUAAUUAGCCAGGCAAGGUGGUUGUGCCUAUAGUUCCAGCUACUCAGGAGGCUGA